rnacentral:rRNA from 1 species
AUUGAACGCUGGCGGCAUGCUUUACACAUGCAAGUCGAACGGUAACAGGCCUUCGGGUGCUGACGAGUGGCGAACGGGUGAGUAAUGCAUCGGAACGUACCCAGAGGUGGGGGAUAACGCAGCGAAAGCUGUGCUAAUACCGCAUGUGAUCUGAGGAUGAAAGCGGGGGACCGAGCAGCAAUGUUUGGCCUCGCGCCUUUGGAGCGGCCGAUGUCGGAUUAGCUAGUUGGUGGGGUAAAGGCCUACCAAGGCGACGAUCCGUAGCUGGUCUGAGAGGACGACCAGCCACACUGGGACGGAGACACGGCCCAGACUCCUACGGGAGGCAGCAGUGGGGAAUUGUGGACAAUGGGCGCAAGCCUGAUCCAGCAAUGCCGCGUGCGGGAAGAAGGCCUUCGGGUUGUAAACCGCUUUUGGCAGGAACGAAACGGUGUCCGCUAAUACCGGGCGCUAAUGACGGUACCUGCAGAAUAAGCACCGGCUAACUACGUG